CAGACAGUCUUCAGGACGUGAUUGUAGGGCCUUUUGCUAAGAAUAAUUUGCAGCUUCCCAUUACAGAUAACACUGUCAUUUUUUUUGCGUGCAUAAGGAAAGGAUGAAUGGGUCGAUCUAUGAUUUUUAUAAUGCUUUUAAAAAUUCGUAACAUAGGUAAAAAUAUUUCCGAAUGUGUGGUUUUACGCAGCUGUUUUAUGUAUCGUGUGUAAUGCAUACAAAAAAAGUAGAAACACACAACGAUAGAGUAUUAAUCGUUGAUUAAAAUGGUGUAAAAAAAUACAUAGGUCACCGCUGAAAAACUCCCAGAAUUCUUCUACGACGAAAAGCAUUUCCGCACAUUUAUUCUGCCGGGAAGUGUCUCCCUCGCGCGGCGUAUUCUUCAGCCGGCGACUGGAGCCGAGGAGUGGGGCUAGCGGCUGCUGUGAAGGCAGCGGAGGGGAAGUUCGUCUGACGGCUGCUCGGUCGCCUUAUCAGCGCGUCGGGGUAUCGGAUAUCGCGAUAAGCACAUGUAUUCGCAGGAAUAGUGUCUACCACUGAGGCCGCCUGGUCGGGAAGGGUCAUUCCAUGCCAAAUCAACCAGAAAAUACUAAUUUUUGGCAUCACCAUCUCAGAAUUAAAAAAAAACUCGGCAAAUUAGCAGUAGGUGUGCAGAAAAGUGCAUUAGCAAAGUUAAAGCCCCCUGUGAAUAAUACUUUUUAUACAGCAGGGUUGCCAACUUGUGGAAAAAGUGGAAUUUUUGCUGCGCGAGGUCCAAUAAAAAUAUUUGUAACUUCCUUUGUAGUUGAGUGAGAACCUUGAAGUAGGGCUCAAUAGAAAGCUAGAAAAGUGUCCUUUGAGAUAAAAAUAAGUUUUACGAAUUUUAGAAGAAAUUUGUUUCAAGGUCAUGGUCAUGUAACAUGUGACCUUGAAAAUUUUGAAAAGUAUAUUUUUGAAAAAUGUGAAAAAAUUAUAUGUUAUGAAGUGCGUUAUUGGUCUAAGUGACAUAAGUUUCAUUUUGGGAUGGAUCUGGGAUCAAACACUAGAACAUUGUGAAUUAGGCCAUGUUCACUAAAACUACUCUAGUAAGGCAUUAACACAAUUCCACUUUUUCCACAAAUUGGCAACCCUGCUGUAUAAAAAGUAUUAUUCACAGGGGGCUGUAACUUUGAGAAUUCACUUUCCUGAACCUGUACUGUUAAAGCCCUAAGUUUCAUUGAAUUCGGUGAUGGUGAUGUCAGCAGGUGUGUGAAAUGGCAUUGAAUGACCCGGAAGUAAUAAAUUCUAGGAUUCAGGCAGUUAUUCCCAGAGAAAACCUCAACCAUUCUACGCCCACCAUAUCGCGCGGCGAGAAGACUCAGUAAGGCAUACUCGGAGCCAAGUGGAGGUUACCUGUAGGCGGAAAAAGUUGAGCGACUGUUAUUUUUACCCCUUGUUAGAUCGAUAUUUGGCUUUGUAACAGCAUCGAGAAGUACUAUUAUAUGCACGAUUUCUUUUUCAAGGAUGGAGUUAAAAAGAAACUGGAGAAAAUAAAGAAGAAUCAUCUUUAUAUUUAUGCAACAAGAAAGAAAAAUGAAGCUACUCAUCUCAAAGCAUACUGGAGUCAAAGGAAUAAAACUAUACCUAAACAAAACCAUGUCAAUGAAGAAUUGGAAAACCAGAGCCUAUCAAGAAUUCACUGCAGCCAUCAAGAACUGAUUGAAAACGAAAUAACUUCCGGAGUGCAUGAAGUAGUGUACUAUGAAGAAAGCUAUCCGGCAAAGAAAAAAUUUAAACUUGAUAGCUGCAGUUAUCAAGUUCCGGAAGGUAGAGACUCACGAUGACACCUUGGCAGCCAGGGAGUAAAAACGGCACAAGAAAUUUCUUCAAGAGAAAAUGACACAUCAGAUGAAGAGAAUAACUACUCUGUAACCAAUGUCCUGCACAAUGAAGAUGGGCAGUGUAUGUAAGUCCCUUAGCCCACUUUAAAAAUAAGUUAAUUACAAAGUGUUUUUAAUACAUGCUAUUUUUCUUUCUUCAACUAUUUCCUGAAAAAUUGUUUACUUUUUUUCCUUCGUAUCAUUUGCACACGGUCGGGUAGUUAUAUUACACGAAACUAGACAUUCUUUCGAAACUAUAUUUCUAUCUAAAUAAAUCAAUAUAAAUAGUUAAAUGUUAUUGCUACUGUAAUGUGGCUCUUUCAGCUCUACAGCCAUGUCUUACACAGAAAUGCAACCGCCUCUGAAACUAUUUGAGAUGGAAGCAGGAUGUUCUUUCUGGUCAACCACCGAAGGAGCCAUUGACAUUCCAUAUGAGCUGGUGGACAGGAAUGAGCCAACUGUAGACAGUAGAUGUAUCAACAAUUCAGAGACAAGCAAUCAGGUUAGCUGAAUAACAAUUAUAUUGCUUUUAAUUAUAUUGACCUGUUAAAAAAUUACAGUUAAGUUAUAAUUUAACUUUACGAAUAUACUUCAAUUGAAAAAUUACACAACUACUCAAACUACAUAAAUGUUUUUAUCAGAAAUUUCACUAAAAACAGGGCAAAAAAAUGAAUACAGUAAAAAAUCUUAUCCCCAUUUAGUGACAAUAGACAGCAUAUUUUACUGACCUUACUUAAAAGUGAUACACCAUCCCCAGUUAAAACAUAAACAGCAUUCAUAAGAACACUGAUUUAAGCACUGAAAAUGUUUAUAUUGUAGCAAGACUUUUCAAAGUAUGCAUCAUACAUUGGACAAAAAACUAUUAAAGAUACUACAGAUACUAUAAGUACUUUUACUGCUAUCAAUAUUCCUGUUUUAUUCGAAACUAGGGAAAAAAUAAUAUAUACAUAUUUUAUGCACAUAGAAAUAUAACAUGAUUUUAGGUACAUUAAUAGAUAUAAGUUAUUCAAAAAUAAUAUAUUUAUGAAUGAUUUCAGCCGAACAGUUUAUUCAUUACUCCAAGAAAAUAUCAACAUUUGGAUGAAUAUAUUGAACAUGUAAAGGAAGACAACGGUUUGAUACUAGAAAAGCAGCAAAAAUCCACUAUGGUCCUCAAUGUCAACAGCCUGACAUGGAUCCAGAAACAUUUGAGGAACAGAUUCAAGCUUUCCUCAGUAGGUUACAACUAACACAAGAGGACCGUCAACAUUUAGAGAGAGACACAAUUCUCCAGGCAGGAAGCGGAAAAUGGCUUGAAACACAUAGAAAAAUUCUAACAGCUUAGAAUUUCGGGAAAGUCUGUCGUAGACGUGCAUUAACAAGCUGCGUUAACUUAGUUCGCAGAAUUGUUUAUACCUCCGAUAUUUUGAACGUGCCUGCAAUUUAUCAUGGUAAAAGGUUUGAGGUGAUGGCUAUAGAACUAGAAAAACAAGAAGGAAUAUAAGGUUGGAAAAAGUGGACUCUUCAUUGACAAGGAAUUGCCUUUCUUGGGUGCCACUCCGGAAGGUGUUAUUGGAGAAAAGGGUCUUGCAGAAGUUAAGUGUCCAUCAUCUGCAAUUGAAAAAGAUGUUACUGCAGCAGUUAAACAAGGGAACAUCCGAUAUAUGAGUUCGAAGGAGAUGAACUGAAACUGAAAAAACACAUUCAUAUUUUUAUCAAGUUCAGGGACAGCUGCACAUUUCAGAGAGGGAAUAUUGCAUUUUUAGUGUUUGGACAUCAGUGGAAAAAGAGAUGGCAAUAUUUCGAAUUGAAAGGGAUGACAAUUUUUGUAAACAAGAGAUGGAACCACAUCUUAAAAAAUUCUAUUAUAACUGCAUUUUGCCAGAACUGGUGGACCCUAGGCAUACGAGGAGCAUGGAAAUUCGAGACCCUCCAUACAUUAUUGACGCUAUUGAAAAAAGAGCAAGAAAAAAAUUUGCUGCUGUCAAGACUUGUUCAGCUGCUCAUUAAUUACCUCUGUAGCGUAUCUUCUUAAAAAAUGUGGAAAUAUAAUAUGUAUUUUUUCUUAAAGUAUUUAUUGCGAUAUGACAUUAUUAUAUAAGAAAAUUUAAACUCAGUGCGCUGUUAAAUUAUGCUUGUAAAAGCAGACCAUCUAAAUUUACUCAACUGUAUCCAUAAACUCAUAUGUUUAUUGUCUUUGUGGUGUGCAAAUGUGUUCAAAUUCAAUUAUAUUUGAUUAAAUAAGAUGUAUUUGUACAACUUCAUACAUUAACUUUUUUUUUCUUCAGAAAAGCCAAAAAUAAUUUGUACAGAUAAAUCGAUGAUUGUUAUUUUCUGAACAGUUAUUGGGUGGAGAUGCAUACAAAUAUUUUAAACAGCAAAUUGUAAACAAUCUAAACAUGAAAAAAAUACAAGGUAGAAAAAAUAACAUGAUUCUGUGCCGUAUUGAAAAUGCAUUUUGGCACAAUUAUCAUUACCACACUUCUUUUUAAAAUCAAUAAUAAUUGAUAUUGACAAUGUUGCAAAUAUUCUAUUUCUAAAGGAAUAAAGAGUUAAAAAUACAUGAUAUGACAUGCUAAGUUAUCGCGUCAUUAUUUCAAAAAAAACUAUUCACAAACAACUGGUUUGUUUACGUUUGGAAUAAAAACUGUGAACACUAGUCACACACCGUAAAAGCCACACAUCUUCCUGUAUACUCACUUCAUGUUAUAGAAUGGGGAAAGUCCGGGUGAACAAAAUUACGAUUUUUGCCUCAUAACGUCACCAUGUUUCGGAUGACUUAAGACGACUUGUUCCGUAAUUUUUUAAACUGCAAAUACAAUUUGCAGCAACAAAUAGUACCUGUGACUAUGUUAUAUGACUUCGUUGAGCAAAGAGAUGCAUUUCAACCUGUUGUUGAAACAAACAUAUUUUUAUGUAGGAAUGUUUGUUAACUGAUUGUUUCAUCAGUGCACGCUUCAAUUCGUUUGUAGUCGUAUGAUAAAUUGUAGUUUAGUACGUACAUUUAAAUCUAAUACGUAUUUUAUGAUG